CCUAAGAAAAGUUACGUCGAGCGACCCAUCGUCACCCCCGCUGAUUUAGAGGGAAAGUCACCAGAAGAACAGGAAAUGCUUAAAGUGAUGGGCUUUUGUGGCUUCGAUACAACGAAAGGACUCCCGUGUUACAAAAAGUUUACAGAUGCACCUCAAACAUUUUUUAGGAACAGUCAAAGAAGGUAAAAUUCGUCAAAAUUUAACAUGAUUUCCUGAGAAAAGUUUAUAUCAUAGCUAUAAUUUAAAUAUUCUAUAAGAAGCGGCUGAGUUUAUUAAAUUAAACCAUUUUACGGUAACAAUAUAAAUUCAGCUGUUCAUGUUUUGCAUAAGGAUAUCGGUUUAGCAUCUCAACUUUGCAUUACUAAACUUCGACAGAGCUCAGGGCUAUUAGUUAUAACUGCAAACACAUAGUACAUACUAUCUCUAUCAGUGAUAAUAAUGUUGAAUUUGUAGAGACAUUCCAUUUAAUAAGAUUUUUACUAUCUCUAAAGUCAGUAAUAUAAAUGAUGGCAAAAAUCAAACAUCACAAA